rnacentral:rRNA from 1 species
AUGGCUCAGGAUGAACGCUAGCGACAGGCCUAACACACGCAAGUCGAGGGGCAGCGGAGUUAGCAAUAAACUGCCGGCGACCGGCGCACGGGUGCGUAACACGUAUGCAAUCUACCCGUUAAGCGGGGGGAUAACCCGGAGAAAUCCGGACUAACACCGCAUAACAUUGCAGUUCCGCGUGGAACCACAAUUAAAUAUUUAUAGCUUAAGGAUGAGCAUGCGCAUGAUUAGCUGGUUGGCGGGGUAACAGCCCACCAAGGCAACGAUCAUUAGGGGUUCUGAGAGGAAGGUCCCCCACACUGGUACUGAGACACGGACCAGACUCCUACGGGAGGCAGCAGUGAGGAAUAUUGGUCAAUGGGCGCAAGCCUGAACCAGCCAAGUCGCCGUGAAGGAGGACCGUCCUAUGGAUUGUAAACUUCUUUUGUACAAGAAUAAAGUGUCCUACGUGUAGGAUUUUGUAUGUACUGUACGAAUAAGCAUCGGCUAACUCCGUGCCAGCCGCUGC